UACGAAGGGGGCUAGCGUUGCUCGGAAUCACUGGGCGUAAAGCGCACGUAGGGCGGUCUUGAUUAAGGUACAGGGUGAAAUCCUGGAGCUCAACUCCAGAACUGCCUUUGAUACUGGACGAGCUUGAGUUCGGGAGAGGUGAGUGGAACUGCGAGUGUAGAGGUGAAAUUCGUAGAUAUUCGCAAGAACACCAGUGGCGAAGGCGGCUCACUGGCCCGAUACUGACGCUGAGGUGCGAAAGCGGUGGGAGCAAACAGGGAUUAGAAACCUCGUA
rnacentral:rRNA from 1 species